GCGAACGGGUGAGUAACACGUGAGUAAUCUGCCCUGCGCUCUGGGAUAGCCACCGGAAGCGGUGAUUAAUACCGGAUAGGACCACUUCACGCAUGUGAUGGUGGUGGAAAGUUUUUUCGGCGCAGGAUGUGCUCGCGGCCUAUCAGCUUGUUGGUGAGGUAACGGCUCACCAAGGCUUUGACGGGUAACCGGCCUGAGAGGGUGACCGGUCACACUGGGACUGAGACACGGCCCAGACUCCUACGGGAGGCAGCAGUGGGGAAUAUUGGACAAUGGGCGGAAGCCUGAUCCAGCAACGCCGCGUGAGGGAUGACGGCCUUCGGGUUGUAAACCUCUUUCAGUACCGACGAAGCGAAAGUGACGGUAGGUACAGAAGAAGGACCGGCCAACUACGUGCCAGCAGCCGCGGUAAUACGUAGGGUCCGAGCGUUGCCCGGAAUUAUUGGGCGUAAAGGGCUCGUAGGCGGUUUGUCGCGUCGGGAGUGACAACACCGGGCUUAACUCGGUGCUUGCUUUCGAUACGGGCAGACUAGAGGUAUGCAGGGGAGAAUGGAAUUCCUGGUGUAGCGGUGAAAUGCGCAGAUAUCAGGAGGAACACCGGUGGCGAAGGCGGUUCUCUGGGCAUUACCUGACGCUGAGGAGCGAAAGUGUGGGGAGCGAACAGGAUUAGAUACCCUGGUAGUCCACACCGUAAACGUUG
rnacentral:rRNA from 1 species